UACGUAGGGUGCGAGCGUUGAUCGGAAUUACUGGGCGUAAAGCGUGCGCAGGCGGCUUCGCAAGUCAGACGUGAAAUCCCCGGGCUUAACCUGGGAAUGGCGUUUGAAACUACGGAGCUGGAGUGUGGCAGAGGGAGGUAGAAUUCCACGUGUAGCGGUGAAAUGCGUAGAUAUGUGGAGGAAUACCGAUGGCGAAGGCAGCCUCCUGGGCCAACACUGACACUGAGGAGCGAAAGCCAGGGGAGCAAACGGG
rnacentral:rRNA from 1 species